rnacentral:tRNA from 1 species
GUGGGUAUAGCUCAGUGGUAGAGCGUGUGCUUAGCAUGCACAAGGUCCUGGGUUCAAUUCCCAGUACCUCCA